rnacentral:rRNA from 1 species
UACAGAGGUCUCAAGCGUUGUUCGGAUUCAUUGGGCGUAAAGGGUGCGUAGGCGGCGCGGUAAGUCGGGUGUGAAAUCUCGGAGCUUAACUCCGAAACUGCAUUCGAUACUGCCGUGCUUGAGGACUGGAGAGGAGACUGGAAUUUACGGUGUAGCGGUGAAAUGCGUAGAUAUCGUAAGGAAGACCAGUGGCGAAGGCGGGGUCUCUGGAC